rnacentral:rRNA from 1 species
AGAGUUUGAUCAGUGGCUCAGGACGAACGCUGGCGGUGUGCUUCACACAUGCAAGUCGAACGAGGUAGCAAUACCUAGUGGCGGACGGGUGAGUAACGCGUGGGAAUCUGCCUUUAGAUGGGGGAUAACGGGUCGAAAGACUCGCUAAUACCGCAUAUGACGAAAGUUGAAAGGAGUAAUCCGUCUAAAGAUGAGCCCGCGUCCGAUUAGCUAGUUGGUAGAGUAAAAGCCUACCAAGGCGACGAUCGGUAGCUGGUCUGAGAGGAUGAUCAGCCACAAUGGGACUGAGACACGGCCCAUACUCCUACGGGAGGCAGCAGUGGGGAAUUUUACGCAAUGGGCGAAAGCCUGACGUAGCGACACCGCGUGAGCGAAGAAGCCCCUUGGGGUGUAAAGCUCUGUCAGCUGGAACGAAAAAAAUGACGGUACCAGCAGAGGAAGCAUCGGCUAACUACGUG